CAGCCUUUCCCACCGGCGAUCAGCCCUGCGCUGGCCACGCGCUCUUCGGUGACACGAACCAGCCGCUGCCCGCUCCGGAGUCAGAAGGGAACAGACUCGCAGAUUUUGGCUGCAACCUGAGAUGGUACCGUUGUGCAUUUCAGGCUAUAGAGUACGGGGUAACGUCAUACACCUGCUUUGGCAGUGGCUUCUCCCCGGACACCUGCGGUGACCUCCCGGGCUUUUAAAGGACAAGGGCCUCAUGCAAGAAUGCCGCGCUUUGAAGCCGGAGGAUGGUAAUUAAAAUGCAAAGCAGGACUGCUGAAAUGACCAAGAGCCUCCAAGGGAUGCCACGUUCCCCCUGCAGGUGAUUCCAGUGUUGCAUGCAUGAUGACAGAAGGCAACUGGAAGGGACAGGAUGGGACAGGGGGCAGGCAGCAUGCUCCAGGCAGCAGCCACAUGGGAGGAGAGAAAGCUGUUUCUCUGAGAGGUGUGAAGAAGAGCAGUCGCUUCUUCUGCUCCUGACAGCCUAUGAGGAUUUUUAUCCUCUUGUACAUUGGGGAAGCAGCGUCCAAGGUUACCUUGGUUUCCCGGGGAUGAUAAUAAAUGCAGUGGUGAAACCCUGA